CCUUAACAGUUACAUUGUGUAACUGACAUUUGCCAAGAUAAGGAGAUUUACAUG
rnacentral:ncRNA from 1 species